rnacentral:rRNA from 1 species
UACGUAGGGACCAAGCGUUGUUCGGAUUUACUGGGCGUAAAGGGCGCGUAGGCGGCAAUUCAAGUCACUUGUGAAAUCUCCGAGCUUAACUCGGAACGGUCAAGUAAUACUGCUUUGCUAGAGUGCAGAAGGGGCAACCGGAAUUCUUGGUGUAGCGGUGAAAUGCGUAGAUAUCAAGAGGAACACCGGAGGUGAAGACGGGUUGCUGGGCUGACACUGACGCUGAGGCGCGAAAGCUAGGGUAGCAAACGGG